rnacentral:rRNA from 1 species
AACGAACGCUGGCGGCAUGCCUAACACAUGCAAGUCGAACGAAGUCUUCGGACUUAGUGGCGCACGGGUGCGUAACGCGUGGGAAUCUGCCCUUGGGUGCGGAAUAACUUCUCGAAAGGGAUGCUAAUACCGCAUAAUGUCGUAAGACCAAAGAUUUAUCGCCCAAGGAUGAGCCCGCGUAAGAUUAGCUAGUUGGUGGGGUAAAAGCCUACCAAGGCGACGAUCUUUAGCUGGUCUGAGAGGAUGAUCAGCCACACUGGGACUGAGACACGGCCCAGACUCCUACGGGAGGCAGCAGUGGGGAAUUUUGGACAAUGGGGGGCAACCCUGAUCCAGCCAUGCCGCGUGAGUGAAGAAGGCCUUCGGUUGUAAAGCUCUUUCGGACGGGAAGGAUAAUGACUGUACCGGAAGAAUAAGCCCGGCUAACUUCGUGCCAGCAGCCGCGGUAAU